UUGACCUCGGAUCAGGUAGGGAUACCCGCUGAACUUAAGCAUAUCAAUAGCNGGGAAGG
rnacentral:rRNA from 1 species